UGGGGAAUCUUCCGCAAUGGACGAAAGUCUGACGGAGCAACGCCGCGUGAGUGAAGACGGCCUUCGGGUUGUAAAGCUCUGUGAUCCGGGACGAAAGAGCCUGAGGUAAAUAGCCUAAGGAAGUGACGGUACCGGAAAAGCAAGCCACGGCUAACUACGUGCCAGCAGCCGCGGUAAUACGUAGGUGGCAAGCGUUGUCCGGAAUUAUUGGGCGUAAAGCGCGCGCAGGCGGCUUCCUAAGUCCAUCUUAAAAGUGCGGGGCUUAACCCCGUGAUGGGAUGGAAACUGGGAAGCUGGAGUAUCGGAGAGGAAAGUGGAGUUCCUAGUGUAGCGGUGAAAUGCGUAGAGAUUAGGAAGAACACCGGUGGCGAAGGCGACUUUCUGGACGAAAACUGACGCUGAGGCGCGAAAGCGUGGGGAGCAAACAGG
rnacentral:rRNA from 1 species